UUGUGUUUGAACUCCCUGACUGCAGAUUCACCAGUGGCAGGACUACCCCUCUAUUCUGACUAUUCCUACACAAAUUCACUGACAAAAUCAGUGUCUGACUUGACCCAGUGUUGCAGAGACUUAGGACUGCAACCUUUGCCUUGUAUUCCUCAGAGUUAGAUGAUCCCUUCUCCUCACACAGCCAGCCAAAAUGGAAUCAUAAUUUCAUUAGCCUCAGGAGAUGUCCUCCUUCUGGAUUGCUCCCAGGAUCCUGAAUUUCCAGCCUUCCUUUCCAAGGCUUCCCUACUUGUGAAAGAAGAGACACAUCCUUCCAUGUGCUGGCACGGAGGGACUGGAUCAAAGAGGCAAAGAGGAAGUUUGGUUCCUCAUGGAUGCCUAAAGUCAAAGCCUGGAUCUGCAAUCUCUUGGCACAGAAGCUGCUGCUAUGAGGACACCAUGCUUUAAUGAGUCUAACUGCAGGAAAAGGUGGAACAAUGGUGGAAUUGGUGAUGGAAAUUGUGUCAGACAAGGAUGAAGAGUAAAACAGAGCUGUUGGUGUUGAAAAUGCCUUGCAAUUUUAGGGCUGGCAGAGCAGAGCUCAUGUUUGGAAGAUCAGGAACAUUUUCACAGGUCACUGACUCUGUGUUUGCCGGAGAGCAAGUCUGGUGUGUAUUGAGAGAGAGGGUAACAGUGGCAAAGUGUUACAGGCGAGCUGGGAGCAGGGCUCAGCCCUUCCUCUGAGAAAGGGUCUGGCCCAAUAUGAACCCUGAAUAUUGCAACAAAACACC